GACGAACGCUGGCGGCGUGCCUAAUACAUGCCAGUCGAACGCUUCUUUCCUCCCGAGUGCUUGCACUCAAUUGGAAAGAGGAGUGGCGGACGGGUGAGUAACACGUGGGUAACCUACCCAUCAGGGGGGGAUAACACUUGGAAACAGGUGCUAAUACCGCAUAACAGUUUAUGCCGCAUGGCAUAAGAGUGAAAGGCGCUUUCGGGUGUCGUUGAUGGAUGGACCCGCGGUGCAUUAGCUAGUUGGUGAGGUAACGGCUCACCAAGGCCACGAUGCAUAGCCGACCUGAGAGGGUGAUCGGCCACACUGGGACUGAGACACGGCCCAGACUCCUACGGGAGGCAGCAGUAGGGAAUCUUCGGCAAUGGACGAAAGUCUGACCGAGCAACGCCGCGUGAGUGAAGAAGGUUUUCGGAUCGUAAAACUCUGUUGUUAGAGAAGAACAAGGACGUUAGUAACUGAACGUCCCCUGACGGUAUCUAACCAGAAAGCCACGGCUAACUACGUG
rnacentral:rRNA from 1 species